GCAGAAGAAAGAAAAACAUCUCGGAAGGCAUGAGGAACAACCUCCUGAACAGUAACUAGUCUGGUUUUAAAAGUGGCCACUGAGCUAAGACUGCCCUACUCUUAGUUAUUAAAGCUCUGUGACUGGCAAGAGCAGCUUCUAAGUCAUCUGUACUCAUUUUGCUGGAUCUGUCUGCGGCUUUUGGCACAGUUAUCCACCUGAUUGUCCUGUCAACCCUCUUGACAAAGCGUGUCUCAGGAACUGCACUCCAGUGGUUCAAGUCUUAACUCUCAGGUGGUGCUUUGGGAGGUGCCGUGGGAUGGUGGAUGACUAGUGGCAAAUUCCGUCCUCUUCAUCAGAUCAUAAUGGAGAUGACUCCUGAAGAGAAGAUGGAACUGUACUCUGAGGUCAUGGAAGAACUGGGCAAUCUGGCAUGGGAUAACGUGGCUGGACUCAUUUAGUCAGUGAUGCGUAAAUCCUCUCUAAAAAUGAAAAUACUUAGUAUUAUAAUCUCUUUUGCCACAAAACAGCUCAAAGUCAAAAUAGCAUCUUAAUUUCACCUGCUUAGUCUAAGCCAAGUUUGACUAUCUGAGGAGCUUUUUAGUUUAGGUUUUGUUAUUGUUUCUGAAAGAUAUGUUUUACUUUAAUUUUUCUGAAUUAUAAACAUGUGUAGCAGCCCUUCAGUGUCGAACAAAGGAGGCAGAGGGUUUUGACGGGUGCCUUCGAUUUAUUUACUCAGAUGCAAUAAACUUCAUUGCUGAAGUAUUCGUUGUCUCAGUUUUUUUGUUGCAAAUUAUCUCCAUUACAUCACAACACUGUGUUCACCCAGUGAUU